rnacentral:lncRNA from 1 species
GAACUUAGCUUUGAGGAUAGAUGAUAAUUUAAGGUGAUACAUGAAAUACACAUAAAUAUGUAACAUAAGAAUCUCCAUCCUUCAAGCUGAUACAUGAAAUACAUAUAGCUUCAAAGCUUGAAGAGAACCAGCUAAAGUGUCGAUCAUAAAUACAUCACAAUGUUAUUUCAAAGAUUUUGAAACCAAGUAGGCUAGAGUGUAGAGACGAACCUAAAUCAGCAAAACCUCAACGCAGCUUCUAGCUCUUUCUCAUCAUCACAGUUAUAUCCAAGUAGAUAUGCN